GAACUGCGAUAAGUAAUGUGAAUUGCAGAAUUCAGUGAAUCAUCGAUUCUUUGAACGCACAUUGCGCCCCCUGGCAUUCCGGGGGGCAUGCCUGUCCGAGCGUCAUUGCUGCCCUUCAAGCCCGGCUUGUGUGUUGGGUCGUCGUCCCCUCCGGGGGACGGGCCCGAAAGGCAGCGGCGGCACCGCGUCCGGUCCUCGAGCGUAUGGGGCUUUGUCACCCGCUCGAUAAGGACCGGCCGGGCGCCAGCCGGCGUCUCCAACCUUUUUUUCUCAGGUUGACCUCGGAUCAGGUAGGGAUACCCGCUGAACUUAAGC
rnacentral:misc_RNA from 1 species